rnacentral:lncRNA from 1 species
GGCAACUCCCUUUGGGUCUCCUCUCAUUGUAUGGGAGCUCUGUUUUCACUCUAUUAAAUCUUGCAACUGCACACUCUUCUGGUCUGUGUUUGUUAUGGCUUGAGCUGAGCUUUUGCUGGCUGUCCACCACUGCUGUUUGCUGCCGUCGCAGACCCCUUGCUGACUCCCACCCCUGCGGAUCUGGCAGGGUGUCUGCUGCGCUCCUGAUCCAGCCAGGCACCCACUGCUGCUCCCAAUCAGGCUAAAGGCUUGCCAUUGUUCCUGCAUGGCUAAGUGCCCGGGUUCGUGCUAAUUGAGCUGAACACUAGUCGCUGGGUUCCACAGUUCUCUUCCGUGACCCACAGCUUCUAAUAGAGCUAUAACACUCACUGCAUGGCCCAACAUUCCAUUCCUUGGAAUCUGUGAGGCCAAGAACCCCCGGUCAGAGAACAAGAAGCUUGCCACCAUCUUGGAAGCAGCCCGCCACCAUUUUGGGAGCUCUAAGAACAAGGACCCCCCAGUAACAUUUUGGUGACCACGAAGGGACCUCCAAAGCAACUCAAAGCUGUAAAACUGCAAAUGGUUCCUCAUAUGGAGCCCCAGAUGCAGUCCAUGACUAAGAUCUACCACAGAGCCCUAGACCGGCCUGUUAGCCCAUGCUCCGAUGUUGAUGACAUCAAAGGCACACCUUCCGAGGAAAUCUCAACUGCACGACCCCUACUAAGCCCCAAUUCAGCAGGAAGCAGUUAAGAGCAGUCGUUGGCUAACAUCCCCAAUAGUAUGUGGGUUUUCCUGUUGAGAGGGGGGACUGAGAGACAGGACUAGCUGGAUUUCCUAGGCCAACUAAGAAUCCCUAAGCCUAGUUGGGAAGGUGACCGCAUCCACCUUUAAACACGGGGCUUGCAACUUAGCUCACACCCGACCAAUCAGGUAGUAAAGAGAGCUCACUAAAAUGCUAAUUAGGCAAAAACAAGAGGUAAAGAAAUAGCCAAUCAUCUAUCGCCUGAGAGCACAGUGGGGAGGGACAAUGAUCGGGAUAUAAACCCAGGCAUUCGGGCCGGCAACGGCAACCCCCAUUGCGUCCCCUCCCAUUGUAUGGGAGCUCUGUUUUCAUUCUAUUAAAUCUUGCAACUGCACACUCUUCUGGUCUAUGUUUGUUAUGGCUCGAGCUGAGCUUUCGCUCGCUGUCCACCACUGCUGUUUGCCGCCAUCGCAGACCCACCACUGACUUCCACCUCUGCAGAUCUGGCAGGGUGUCCGCUGUGCUCCUGACCCAGCGAGCCACCCAUUGCUGCUCCCAAUCAGGCUAAAGGCUUGCCAUUGUUCCUGCAUGGCUAAGAGCCCAGGGUUCGUCCUAAUCGAGCUGAACGCUAGUAGCUGGGUUCCACAGUUCUCUUCCGUGACCCACGGCUCCUAAUAGAGCUAUAACACUCACCACAUGGCCCAAGGUUCCAUUCAUUGGAAUCCGUGAGGCCAAGAACCCCCGGUCAGAGAACAAGAAGCUUGCCACCAUCUUGGAAGCUCUAAAAACAGAGACACCCCAGUAACAAUAGAACAGUCCAGAAUUGGUGGAAACAGCAAGGCAAGAAUUUGGAAGCAAAGGAUUCAGAGAUUUAGGGC